CGUGCGUUUCUGCUUUUUCGAUCAUUCAGUUUCAUCUAUCGAUCGAGAAAACUGUGGUAGCUUCUCAUACUGCUGUUUUAAGUGGGAAUUCAGUAGAGGCAAAGCUAUGAUUGCAACUUAAUGGGUUCUGAAUUUAAUAUUUGUGUAUAUUUGAGGCUGAAUCCGCAUGUGGACUAUUAGUUCUGCUUCUGGUGGGAAGGACCUUUUCUAUGUGGUGUUGAUAUGGUCACUGAUUAGCUUUUGCAUUGCUAAAACAAGAUGAUUUUCGAAUGUGCAGCUCCACCAAGCAAAUUGGACAGGAAAUGGAUGAAGAGUUGCAAGAAGUGAAGAAAUCACUCAUUUUUCCAAGCCUAGCUGUGGAUGCAAGAGGUGGAAUGGAGACAGUAGACACUACGACCAGCAUUACAGCGUGUUUACAUGACAAGAGCGUCAACAUAUAAAGAUGCACUUAAAGGUUUCAUAGUGGGAUAUCAGGAAGGUAUUCACAUGGAGAAAAAACGAGGACGCUAAAUUGCAUAAGGACACUUAUGCAGCCAAAGAACAAUCUUGGCCUCCGAAGUAAAAGUUUAUGUAGUGGGGAAAUGGGGGAAGGAGAUUACAUCGCAAAUGGUCAAUGUUCAACUCAUUGAGGCUCUUGUUUGUAAAAGUGAUUUGGCUUGACAUCAAUUGAACCUCAACGUGUAAGGUCAGGAUCAAAUACAUAAGCCUAUCUAAUGUGCGCCCUCACCAAAUGCAUGUGGGAAGGGAGUUGUCAAUUGAGCUUUUUAGUUGCUUUUUGGAGUAAUUGGUGGCUUGAAGUUAAAUCUGUAGUUUGAUUUCAAGUUUGGAUGGAGGAGGCAGGACUAGACUGAAACAGGUCAGGUGAGCCAGGAUUGGAUGUAAGAUAGUUGAAAAUGACUUCCACCCAAAUAUUGCCUUCUAUUUGGUACUUUAUUCCCCAUAGUAUGUGCUGCAGAUUCUAAAGCAAAAGCAUAUAAUGAUUUAGCCCUUGAAUCUAUCAUCGAGGUGUCUUGCUCGGUGUCUAGAGCCUCCUCUGAUAAAGUUCGUACAUCUUUUGCCAUCUUUAUUUGACGUGCCAUCAGCUUUCCAUUAGGAUAGUUUCAGCACUUGUAGUUCCGGACCCAUAUGUGACUGUGGGUGUUCUUAUUAGGUAUAUGUUGGCGGGGUCAUGGAAUUUGUCUCUUGAUUGAAAUCUGUCAAGCACAUGGGUUUUCAUUUGAGCACAUUGUAAUAAGAAUCUUCUACCAUGUCCGAUAAAUUAUAGUUCUAUCAUCAUCGUGGAUCCUACAUAAAGACUGAAUCAGGAAUUAUUCUAUGUUUCUUUAGUGCAUGUACUGUGAUUUUGGCCUUAUUCUCGACUGCUAGCUUCAAUUAUUAUAU